ACGUAGGAGGCGAGCGUUAUCCGGAUUUACUGGGCGUAAAGCGUGUGUAGGCGGUUUGAUAAGUUGGAUGUGAAAGCUCCUGGCUUAACUGGGAGAGGUCGUUCAAAACUAUCAGACUUGAGAGUGGUAGAGGGAGGUGGAAUUCCGCAUGUAGUGGUGAAAUCCGUAGAUAUCCGGAGGAACACCGGUGGCGAAGGCGGCCACCUGGACAGGUACUGACGCUGAGGCGCGAAAGCGUGGGGAGCAAACAG
rnacentral:rRNA from 1 species